rnacentral:rRNA from 1 species
UGUUUCGGCAAGGGGGUCAUCCCGACUUACCAACCCGAUGCAAACUGCGAAUACCGGAGAAUGUUAUCACGGGAGACACACGGCGGGUGCUAACGUCCGUCGUGAAGAGGGAAACAACCCAGACCGCCAGCUAAGGUCCCAAAGUCAUGGUUAAGUGGGAAACGAUGUGGGAAGGCCCAGACAGCCAGGAUGUUGGCUUAGAAGCAGCCAUCAUUUAAAGAAAGCGUAAUAGCUCACUGGUCGAGUCGGCCUGCGCGGAAGAUGUAA